AUUGAACGCUGGCGGCAGGCCUAACACAUGCAAGUCGAACGGUAACAGGAAGAAGCUUGCUGCUUUGCUGACGAGUGGCGGACGGGUGAGUAAUGUCUGGGAAACUGCCGGAUGGAGGGGGAUAACUACUGGAAACGGUAGCUAAUACCGCAUAACGUCGCAAGACCAAAGAGGGGGGCCUUCGGGCCUCUUGCCAGCGGAUGUGCCCAGAUGGGAUUAGCUAGUAGGUGGGGUAACGGCUCACCUAGGCGACGAUCCCUAGCUGGUCUGAGAGGAUGACCAGCCACACUGGAACUGAGACACGGUCCAGACUCCUACGGGAGGCAGCAGUGGGGAAUAUUGCACAAUGGGCGCAAGCCUGAUGCAGCCAUGCCGCGUGUAUGAAGAAGGCCUUCGGGUUGUAAAGUCCUUUCAGCGGGGAGGAAGGGAGUAAAGUUAAUACCUUUGCUCAUUGACGUUACCCGCAGAAGAAGCACCGGCUAACUCCGUG
rnacentral:rRNA from 1 species